rnacentral:rRNA from 1 species
AAAGCCCCCGAUCUCAUUUGAUCUUGGAAGCUAAA